GUCAGUGAUGCCAUAAUGGAAGUGAGUUUGGUGGGCGUUGUUGCUGGUUUUUGAAUCUGGAGGAUGAGGCUAUUUCCAGAACUGGGAGAAGGCAAAUAAACGGAUUUUUACCUAAAGUUUUGAAGAGGGAAACCGUUCCUGCCAACACUGUGGUUUUACACAAGGCUCAUUUGGACCUCUGACUUCUGCCAUUUGGACUAGGAAUAAAGAAUAAAAGCAUCUCUGCUUCACAGGAGAGCAGUCACCAAGGGGGGGGGUACCAGAAGAGUAAUGUGUAAACUUACCUAAAACAGGAUAUGUAUAUCUUCAGUGUACAGCUAUUUUAAGGAUUGCACAACACUUUGAAGCAAGCAGCUGCCAUGAAUUUUGAAAACUAAUCUGCCUUCACUUGAUAUCUAUGCAAAAGAUGUUUAAAAGAAUUUGAGACAUCAGUGUGACUGUCAAGCAGGAGUUAUCCAUAUCAGGAGAUUACACUGAGUCAGUUGUUGGGAAAGGUAAAAUCAAUUAAUCACAUGCUUCUCUAGGAAACAUUUAGUACAGAGCAAGUCUGUGAAGGAGUACAAACAGGCACACUCUCUGAAAAGGCAUAAGAAAAUGAUCCAGAAAAGAUAGAGACUGAAAAUAUAUUAGGCGAAAAAGUUACCUAUAUUACUAAAAAGAAAUGAUGGAAUACUAUUCUAGGUGGCUUAUUUUUAAUUUUCAUAAUUAGAUAACUAAAUACCUUAGCAGUACUCUCAAAUCAGGAAAUGGCAACUGAGCAAUAAUUUCACUAACAGGAAGUGAUGAGAAUCACUGACACACAAAAAAUAUUGACUAUAAAAUCACUUGGACGAAACAUUCCAUUUUUAAAAUUAUUUGCCUGUUAUACAAUUUACUGUCAAAACUUUCAAGAUCUUUUUAAUGCAUAUGGGAACAUACCUAUAAAGAUAUUUUAAAGUGCAUAUAUGACAUUUAAAUGUACAUUAAUACCUACAGUCAUUAAAACUCUUAAAUUAACAGAGAUCAAGCAGUCAUUAAUUUCACGAAUCAUAGUUUGGUAGACUGCAAUUUUAGGUGAUCUAGAACUUAAAAUAAGAAUCUUAAUGAAAAUAUUGGUAGUAUAGACUAUUAAUUUUAAUCUACAUGUAGGGAAAUGAUGUAUUCAAACAUUAAGUCCAACAUAUACUAUGUAUAUACUUUUACAAUGCCAAAUUACAUUACUUCCCUUUAACAUUUUGAUGAUAAAAGUUGCCUUGAUUAUUUCUGAUCUAAAUGAAAACCUUAGAUCUGUACUUCUUUUGCUUUCUUUAGGAGAGCAUUGAGCAUUGCAGUCUUAGUUGAUAAAAUGAUAGAAUAACUAUAAGGAUGAUCUUGAUUUGAUUGUUGGUCACAUGCUGAGACAAUUGGAUCACCUACAAUUACAAUUCAAAUAGGAAACAUAAAAGAAUCACUCAGACAAUGAAAACAGUAUUGAGAUUGUGAUCUUCCAAUAUGUAAGAAGAAAGGGGGAAAUGAUGAUUGUUGAGGUAUUCAAUCCCCAGAGAGCUCUUUUACCAGUUAUGGCCCAUGGAGAUGCUGUGAUGUGUUCCCAAGCCUCCUUGAGUGAAGUUUUGUUGCCCAGCUGCUGAGGCAGCCCUCACCUCUCAGCCCCAUCUAUAGUUUUUUCAGCUUCACCCAAGUUUACACUCCUCUGGGCAGCCAACAUCUCAUGAUGAACUAUAUGGAUAAAGGCAAACAAGACUCUUAGAAAUGGCAGUCUUGGCCCUACUCUGGAAAACGCUUCCCCCAUCCCAGGGCUAUUUUAGCUGCAGAUCACCAUGUGGAAGGUUCUUGCCACACAGUAGUUGGGCUGGUACCUUAGCUUUGCUUCUCUCUCUUGCUCUGCUGCCUUCUCUUUCCUUCUGCAGGUACUGGUACCAAAGGUACUCCCUAAAUGCUAACCUCAGCCCAGAGGUGGCUUCCAAGAGAACCCAAACUAUUAAAUAUCCAAAAUCCCUUCCAAAGGAUUCCCAUUAUCACAAGAGUCACCUACUCUACUAUGAUGUGUUAAAAUUUCUCUCUGAAACCUAUGGGAAGAGAAACAUUAACAAGCCCAAGAAAUAGGUACAGGAUCCCAACUUCUUGACCACAUGCCUCCUACUGUUAGGGAGAAGUCAGUAUAAAUCUUUGUUUAUUGUUUGAUUUUUCCACUUACCUAUGUAAUUUAGACCAUGUAUCUUUUAUUUCCUCUGGGAUCCAAGCUAGAGCUCAGUAAAUGUUGGUGGUGUGAACAAAGAAAUCAAUCCUAUUCCUGGGAAUUUGGAUUGUACUGACAGUGUUGUUUAUCUAACAACUGUGUAAUCAAAUUGUUUUUAAGCUUUACUCCUGAAGUUUAAAUUUGUCAUGAUCAUUGUGGAAAUUAUUUUAUAGAUUUUGCAUUCUGAAUAAAGUAGCUUGUUUUAAAACAAUGAAAAA